GGAGAGGUCGCAUAGUGGCCUAGUGCGGAGGUCUUGAAAACCUCUGUGGACGCAAGUUCACCGUGGGUUCGAAUCCCACCCUCUCCG
rnacentral:tRNA from 3 species